rnacentral:rRNA from 1 species
CCUACGGGGGGCUGCAGUAGGGAAUCUUCCACAAUGGGCGAAAGCCUGAUGGAGCAACGCCGCGUGGGUGAAGAAGGUCUUCGGAUCGUAAAACCCUGUUGUUAGAGAAGAAAGUGCGUGAGAGUAACUGUUCACGUUUCGACGGUAUCUAACCAGAAAGCCACGGCUAACUACGUGCCAGCAGCCUCGGUAGUACGUAGGUGGCAAGCUUUAUCCGGAUUUUUUGGGCGUAAAGGGAACGCAGGCGGUCUUUUAAGUCUGAUGUGAAAGCCUUCGGCUUAACCGGUGUCGUGCAUUGGAAACUGGGAGACUUGAGUGCAGAAGAGGAAAGUGGAACUCCAUGUGUAGCGGUGAAAUGCGUAGAUAUAUGGAAGAACACCAGUGGCGAAGGCGGCUCUCUGGUCUGUAACUGACGCUGAGGUUCGAAAGCGUGGGUAGCAAACAGGAUUAGAUACCCCAGUAGUC